rnacentral:rRNA from 1 species
GACGAACGCUGGCGGCGUGCCUAAUACAUGCAAGUCGAACGCUGAAGGAGGAGCUUGCUUCUCUGGAUGAGUUGCGAACGGGUGAGUAACGCGUAGGUAACCUGCCUGGUAGCGGGGGAUAACUAUUGGAAACGAUAGCUAAUACCGCAUAAGAGUGGAUGUUGAAUGACAUUUGCUUAAAAGGUGCAAUUGAAUCACUACAAGAUGGACCUGCGUUGUAUUAGCUAGUUGGUGGGGUAACGGCUCACCAAGGCGACGAUACAUAGCCGACCUGAGAGGGUGAUCGGCCACACUGGGACUGAGACACGGCCCAGACUCCUACGGGAGGCAGCAGUAGGGAAUCUUCGGCAAGGGACGGAAGUCUGACCGAGCAACGCCGCGGGAGUGAAGAAGGGUUUCGGAUCGUAAAGCUCUGUUGUAAGAGAAGAACGAGUGUGAGAGUGGAAAGUUCACACUGUGACGGUAGCUGACCAGAAAGGGACGGCUAACUACGUG